rnacentral:rRNA from 1 species
UGGGGAAUUUUCCGCAAUGGGCGAAAGCCUGACGGAGCAACGCCGCGUGAGGGAUGAAGGCCUCUGGGCUGUAAACCUCUUUUAUCAAGGAAGAAGAUCUGGCGGUACUUGAUGAAUAAGCCACGGCUAAUUCCGUGCCAGCAGCCGCGGUAAUACGGGAGUGGCAAGCGUUAUCCGGAAUUAUUGGGCGUAAAGCGUCCGCAGGCGGCCUCGUAAGUCUGUCGUUAAAGCGUGGAGCUUAACUCCAUUUCGGCGAUGGAAACUGUGAGGCUUGAGUGUGGUAGGGGCAGAGGGAAUUCCCGGUGUAGCGGUGAAAUGCGUAGAUAUCGGGAAGAACACCAGUGGCGAAGGCGCUCUGCUGGGCCAUAACUGACGCUCAUGGACGAAAGCCAGGGGAGCGAAAGGGAUUAGAUACCCCUGUAGUC